rnacentral:rRNA from 1 species
AGAGUUUGAUCAUGGCUCAGGGUUAACGCUGGCGGCGUGCCUUACACAUGCAAGUCGAACGGGGCUAUCAGCGAUGGUAGCUUAGUGGCGAACGGGUGAGGAAGACUCAGGGACCUACCGACCAGAGGGGGAUACCCGCUGGAAACGGCGGAUAAAACCGCAUACGCCCGGGUGAAAGCCCGGGGAAAAGCACUACGGUGUUACUGGACGAGGGACCUGCGGCCCAUCAGGUAGUUGGGGAGGUAACGGCUCACCAAGCCGACGACGGGUAUCUGGCGUGAGAGCGCGAACAGGCACAAGGACACUGAGAGACGGGUCCUACUCCUACGGGAGGCAGCAGUGGGGAAUAUUGGACAAUGGGCGAAAGCCUGAUCCAGCGACGCCGCGUGUCGGAAGGAGUCCUUCGGGAUGUAAACGACUUUUGGUGGAGACGAAUAAGCAGCUCAGGGAAUGGGGCUGUGAUGACGGUAUCCAUGGAAUAAGCCCCGGCUAACUACGUGCCAGCAGCCGCGGUAAGACGUAGGGGGCAAGCGUUACCCGGAAUUACUGGGCGUAAAGGGAGCGUAGGCGGGAGGUCAAGUCCGGUGUGAAAGACCCUGGCUCAACCAGGGAUGAGGGCUGGAAACUGACAAUCUUGAGUACAGCAGAGGAAGAGGGAAUUACCGGUGUAGGGGUGAAAUCCGUAGAGACCGGUAAGAAGGCCAGUGGCGAAGGCGCUUUUCUGGGCUGUUACUGACGCUGAGGCUCGAAAGCCAGGGGAGCAAACCGGAUUAGAUACCCGGGUAGUCCUGGCCGUAAACGAUGCUCACUAGGUGUGGGGCGCAUAGCGUGCUCUGCGCUGAAGCAAACGCAAUAAGUGAGCCGCCUGGGGAGUACGUCCGCAAGGAUGAAACUCAAAUGAAUUGACGG